GUACUCUGGUUUCUCUUCAGAUCGUAUAAAUCUUUCGCCUUUUACUAAAGAUUUCCGUGGAGAGGAACACUCGGAGUUUUAAUUAAUUUUUUGAUGCCCUGCUAUCGCGGGGCU